rnacentral:tRNA from 1 species
GAAGGGUGGCAGAGUGGUUGAAUGCACCGGUCUUGAAAACCGGCGAAGAGCAAUCUUUCGUGGGUUCGAAUCCCACCCCUUCC